rnacentral:lncRNA from 1 species
UGUCGAUCAAUGAAAAUCUAAGUUGAACUCCCAAAGAGACAGACCUUUUCAAGUCCUAGAAUGUGUUGAUGACAACACUUCUAAAAUUGAUCUCUUAUGUGAGUACAAUGUGUCUAUUACAUUUAAUGUUUAUUAUUUUUUCCUUUUUUAUGCAUAUUAUAUUCGAGGACGAAUCUUUUUGAAGAGGGAGGGAUGAUGUGAGCAUGAAUAUGGAUCAUGAAAUGAACAAUUAAGGGGAGAUGAAUGGCGGCCGAGCCCAAAAAAUGGACAAAUUGAUGGCUAAGCCCAAAAGAAUAGACAAGUUGGUGGUUGAAAGAGGAUGGAUGAAGAAGAUAUCUCAAUGCCUAGUGGGCUCAUUACAAGAGAGAGAGCUAAAAGAUUACAAGUCUUUCAACUUUUUGUACUAGUGUGGAUCAAUGAGGAAAAUGAAUUUAGAUCCACUAAAAAAGCCCAAAGAAAGAAGAUAGCAAAGCCAUUAAUCCAAGGGUAUAAUGGCAUAUACAAUUCACUCAAGGUGCAAUAGGGAAACAAACAAGAAAAAGGGAAAGAAUUUCCCUUAAGUGAGGAGAAUCGACCAAAAGGGGAAGAUGCUCCUAAAAUCACAAGUUGAUUGAAAAAAAGGGGGAAAACUCAUUUAAAAGCCAAAUCUCACGAUUUAGGAUAUAAAUGGGCAGCCAUCUUGCUCUCCAUUAAUCAAGAUCUCUUUUAUUUAAAAAAGUAGAUAAUAUUUAUCCUAUUUUGGAAAACAAUCCUCUUAAUUUUGUAAGUUUUCUUAUUUUAUUUUAGAUUUAUUUUUAUAUGUAAUUUUUUCAUUAUUUUAGGAGAUUAUUUUCCUUAUUAUUUACAGAGCAUACACUAUAAACAGACCUUUAAUUCAGAGUUGUAGGCAUUUAAAAAGUUUAUAAUCUUGUUUUAAAAUUUCAAGUUUUCAAGAGUGAGUGAGUGAAUUUUCGACUAAUUUAUUGUGUUAGGAAUUGGAAUCACUUAUCGAGGUAAGUUUUAUGGUAUCUUUUCAAUUCUAAUUCGUUGCUUCUUUCCUUAUAACCUUGGUUUUCACAGUGUGGGUCAAGUAUGGAGGGUUUACUUAGGGUUUGAGUUUCUAGUUGCUAUAUAUACGGGGUUUUGAAUUACGUUUUUUGGACCCAGGUUCUACAUCAAAUUUACUGACUGAUAUAAUGUUUAAUGAGAAAUGAGGGACAUAAAGAGCAUUGUGGAGUAUGAAUGUGGUAGAAGAUGCAUAUUGCAAAUAUGUCUUACAUUCACUAUUUGUGAAUAAGACAGUUCUAUGAAAACAUUAUUUAUAGGUUAAUAACUAGCAAACAACUCGAUAAAACUUACUAUAUGGUCUCUUGUCAGGAUAUCUAUUAUUUAAUCAUCUACUUUUAUUGAAAAUAAAUGAGGAAUUGAAGAGGAAAUGUUGUUGGAUUUUGUUAGAUGUUUGUAUGUUGUUGAAAGAUUGUUGAUUUUUAGCAUUAGGGCAUUGUAAUCGAUUGUAUUGAUUGUUAACAAUGUAGGUUGAAUCAAGGCAAAAAUUCUAUCAUAUUAUUAUUUGGUAAAUGAAAGAUGACGUGUCUCUGAAACAAUACUCUGGUUCCUAAAUUUCACAUGAGAAUCAACAUCACUACUAUGAAUAUCUAAAUUAGUUGGAAAUGUCCCUAACUAAUUUGCACUGGGAUUUUUCCUUUGUUUGGGCUUAUAACCUAAUGGGUACCCAUGUUUCUUAUAACAUAUGUCUAUUGUGUGACCAAGAAAACCAUAGUACAUACAUGUUGGCUUCUUGGUGUUUCCAUUCUUAGUGGGUUUUGUCAUGUUUACAAAAUUACAAUAUGUAUUUUUGGUCCUUAAUGACUUAUCAAAACCUCAUUUAUUUACAUACAAUAUGUUUGAUUCAUAACUCUAUAAAGGUAAAAUGCAUUCACAAGUCUUUCAUGUUGUAAUAUUAAGGCAAACACUUUGUUCAAACUUAGUAAUGACUUUAUAAGGAGUAUGAGGCAAACACUUUGUUCUAGCAUUUAUGAUACUAAAUGAUUCAUUUAAUCCUUUUAAGAAUCUUAUUACUUGACCUCCUUCUUGAUAAUUUCUAAUUGCUAAGGACACAAUAGAGGCACUAUGUGAUUGACAUGCAAAUACAAGCCUCACAUUCAUUAACUCAUCCCAUAAUCUUUUUAACUGAGUGAGGUACUUUGUAAUAAAAUAAGUACCUUGUUUUAGAGAGUAUAUUUUCUCGUGUAAAUUAGAAAUAUGAACUACAUCAUAUUGCAAAAACCUAUCAUGUAAGUUUUUCCAGAGAUCUUUUGCAUAGUCUAUCUAUAUCACGCUCUAUGCUAUGGAAGGUGAUAAAAGUCUCACAAUCCAAGAUAAAUUAUGGUGUUGCAUCUUUUCCAGGCCUCGUACAUCAGAUCAUCCUUAUUCAGUUACUUAGAUCGAUUCGUCUACCGAUAAGAACGGUUAAGGUGAGCUACAGUGAUUGAUUCUCCUACAGAUGCACAUAGUAUGGAUUCCCAAAGUUCUCUUCCAUCUUUGACAGAUCUAAGGUAGAUGAUUUUUUCAUGUAAAAUCUCUUUAACUGACAAUAAUAAAUCUUUCAAAUAAUAUAUCGACACUUAAACUAUAAGGGAUGAGGGGAGUACAAGAUUUCGCAGAAACUUCGAAACUAAGGUUUCUUUAUUCUUUUUCUUCUAAGAAAAAAAAACUUGAUUAAAAUCACUCUGAUUCCAAAUUGAAUAAUCUCAUUGAUAAAAUCACAAGAAAUUGACUUAGAAUAUCAAGAAUACACUUUGAUUCAAGGUGUAGUCGAGUGAGAAAGGAACAUUAGGAUAGAGAGAUAGAAAUAGAGAGAGAGAGAGAGAGAGAGAUUUUUCAGGAAUGAAAAAAAAUGAAUAGGAUGAUUUUCAUCAAUGGUGAUUGUGGCAUUUAUACAAAGUAAUUAAGGAAACUAAUUUUAACUACAAGUGGUGCUUUUAGUUAAAAUUUAACAACUAUAGUUAAUAGUAAUUAUUACAAAAUUUAUAUAAUAUCUAUUAUUUAUUACAAAUUACAUUAAAAAUUAUUUUGAUUACUACUAGGUUACAAAAUUUUCACAUCCAACCAAAUCAUGUGCUCUUAACAUCAUGUUGUUCAUAUACAAUAAAUCACAAAUCAUCUUAGUAGUAUUUAAUCAAUCAUUUCUUAAUUAAAUAAUUGAUAUAUUUAUUCUUUUAUAAGAAAUUAUAAAUUCGAAUUGGGUUAUACCAUUGUAUUUUAAUUUGAAGGUUGUACUCUUGUUUAUUAACUAAUUAAUAAUUUUAUUAAUUGAUACAAGAAAAAAAUAUUAACAUUUAAUAUUAUAUUUGAUUUUAUAUAGAGUGUGCAUUAUAUAUUUUUUUUUAUCGUAACCUAUAAAAAUUUAUGUUAAAUAAAUAUUAAUUAAAAUGAAAACUUGCAGACAAUAAAACAUAAGAAAUUAUAAAUCUUGAUUGUAUAUACAAAGAAUAAUAUAUAUAUAUAUAUAUAUAUAUAUAUCCGACAUCCUAUAUGUGUGUAUAUUGGCGGGUAUAGUUUUAGGAGGUCUAUGUAUGUAUAGCUACAAGCUUACAAACUAAUAGUUACACCUCUAGCACCAUUUGUGUAGGGUGAGGUGGUUGGAAUAAUCUCGGAAUAAGAAGAUUGUUGAAAAUUACUGCCAUGCUUUUUAGGGUCAUAUCUUUCCCCAUCACCCCAAAGAGCAUAAGCUUCUUCACCAUGAGCAGCAUCGUCACCUAUGGCCAGCUCCUCUUCACCCAUCCUCAGUGGUAUAAACAAUCUUAUUAUCAUUAGAAUAAUUGUGGUGGAGACGAUGUUCCACCCAAUCACGAACAUGGCUGCAACCAAUUGCUUCAACAACUGAAACCCAUCACCAUAAAUCGCACCUCUGCUGUCCGACACCGGCAAUAUGAGAUUGCAUAGGUGCGGCUCUGCAAAUAGACCAGUCAAUAACCCGCCUAGGAGCCCAGCAACCGCGUGGGUGUGGAACACGCCCAGUGUGUCAUCCACCUAUUCAACAUUAGCCUAAAUAGUCAGUAAGUCAUCAUUUUAAAAGCGAUUGUAAAGUUAAAUUAGAUGGUGUAUUUUUGUAUAAUCUCGAUGUAAAAUUAUUUUAUAAUCUGACGUAAUUAAUAAAACAUUUAGAUUUCUAUUUAAAAACAAACUUCUUAUAUGUUAAUCAAUGCAAACAUAAACAUUUUACAUACAUACAUACGACGAAGACUUUGGGUAGGGACGUGUUCAUUUUUUUAUUUUUUAUUUUUUAUUUAGGUUUUCAAACAGGAAAAGUCUUAACAUAUUACUAUUAUGAUGAGACUUGUGUACGAGAAUUCUAAAGCAUUAAUGUUCAUUAAUUCUAAAGAACCCUAUGAUCACUAGAUAGUUUGAAAAUGGGGGAUAUACAUAUAUAUACGUAUAUACAUAUACAUAACACUUUUGUCAAAGCACCAGAAAUUUACGAUAAUCAAUCUUAAAAAAAAAAUAUAUAUAUAUAUAUGUACCUUCUGUAAGAGGCUGGAAUUUUUGUGGAGGAUCAUCAUAGACACCCAUGGAAUACUACCGGAAAGAAUCCCCAUCACUAUUGCUGCCCAUGAUUGCACCAAUCCUGCACCAAUCACGUACCCGUUACAUUAUCUACCUAUAUAUUCUACUUUUCGGGGUUAAACAAUAAAUAAUUAAUUAGAUUAUUUCUCCAAUUAAUACAUAUACAUACUUUUCAAAUAUGGAGGCUGUAGAAAAACUUUACCUGCACCGGGAGUGAUGCAGACAAGUCCCGUCAUCAUCCCUUGAACGGCUCCGAUCACCGAAGGCUUACCAAAGAAAAUAACAUCAAGAGUUGUCCAAACAAGAAGGCUAGUUGCCGCACAGACAUUCGUGUUCAGCACAGCUAUAGAUGCGUCAAUAUGAGCUGCAUACGGAGCUCCACCAUUGAAACCAGACCAUCCCAUCCACAGCAAACCCGCACCCGCAAGCAUCAGCAACACAUUGUUUGGAGGAAACCUUUCUCUGUCACUCUUCAACCUCGGUCCAACCUGCAAAUCAAUCAUUUAGUAUCCACCAAACCAAAUAAAAGAAUUAGUAAUUAAAGUAGUUGGCAGUACCCAAUAAGCUGCCGUGAAGCCGGCGAUUCCUGAAGAGAGGUGAAUCACGUAGCCCCCGGAGUAAUCAAUAACACCCCAGUGGAAAAGAAAGCCACCGCCCCAGAGACUGAAAGCGCCCACGGUGUAGGAAAAUAUGAGCCAGAGGGGGACAAAAGCCAUCCAGGCUUUAAUAUUCAUGCGACCCAGAACAGAGCCUGCUAGCAAAAUGACUGUAAUGGCAGCAAAAGUGAAUUGAAAGUAAACAAGUGAGGCCAUGGGGUAAAAAGGCUGGAUCAUGGGGGUCUCAACCGAGCCAUUAGAACGAUGGUGGGUGCUUUCCGGGACCUGGGCUCGUUCAAUGAGAUAGUUCUGGCCUAGAGCCGGUGCACCUUUACCCCAGAAGGGAAGCAAUUCGUCUCCGAAGGCCAUGCGGUAGGCCACCAGGACCCAGCAAAUGAGAACAGCGGCGAAUGCGUAGAGAGCCAUGAAAGCAGAGUUGACGGCCCAUUUCUUCUUGACGAUACUUGCGUAGAUGAUGACAAGACCCGGCAUGCUCUGUAAGCCAACCAGAGUGGAAGCAAUCAAUUGCCAUGCGUUGUCGCCUUUGUUCAGCCAGGAUGGCACAGAUGGAAGAUGCUCCUGGUAGGCUAUGGGGAAGGUCGCCAUGGUUAAUUCGUUUAGGAGGUUGGAUUUGAGAGGAGGAGGAGGAGGAGGAGGAGGAGGUUUGUUAAGGGUCAAAUGUUUUUAUGAUGACGGCUUUAGACAAUAGUGAAUUUGAUAUGAAGGUGUUUUCAUUUUAGUUCAAUGGAAGCUUCAUGUAUGAAUAUGUUAAUAAAGGUUGAAAUUGUCAAAGUCUUGUUAUUUAUGAUUGUUAUAGAUGGAAAAUUUCAAGAAUUUAAAUCUUUUAAUUGUUAAUGUUAACGUCUUAUCAAGGAAAGUUUGAUAAAUAUUUGUAGUUUAAAGACUUAAAUUUGUAGUAAUUGGUUGAUGAGCUUAUAAGUGGUAGGUAAUUCAUGAAUCUGAUAUGUUGACUUGGGGGGGGGGGGGGUUUGUUUUGAAAUAUUGCGAAAGAAAGAACUGAGAAAUUGAUUGGGUGGGUCAACGCAUGAGGAAUAUGUUUGGUUGAAAAGUCAAAUAUGAGUGUCAUCAACUUUCGGUUAUCCCAAAUCACACCUUACAUUUUUACCUUUUCUUUUGGGUAAAUUUUUGAGCAGCUAUAGAAAUUUUCUUGACAAGUUUGACUCCGUCUCCAUAAUUCACUCACAAUAAAUUAUAUCAAAAGUCAAAAGUCAAAAGUCAAUGUUCCGGUAGUGGUCAGAUUUAUUAUAAUAUGAGAGGUUUCUUUCACGAACAACCAACCAUUUUAAUUUUAUUUUAUUUUAUUAUUAUUAUUCUAAUUCUACUUUGUUUUAUUAAAAUCAAAUUUAAAAAAAAAAAAAAAAUGAUGUGGAAGUUCAAUGGAAUUUGGUCCUUCAAAUUUUAAAAUUUCUAUUUGAUAUUCUUAUUAUUUUUAUGGGCUUUAAUUAUAAAGUAAUUUUAAUAUUUUGUUUUCAUGUAUUUUUUAAAACUAUACUUAUGUCUAUAUCAAUCUCGUUUUAUUAAAAUUAGUAUUUUAUUGAUAAUAUAAUAAAAUUGGACUAAUCUUUAGUUUGAAUUCAGGUAAAAUAAAUUCUUUAGUACCCACUACUCAAUUCGAUCUUUUUAUCGUAACUCUUGAAAAGUAUUUUUAAGAGAAAUGCUAAAAUUUUCAAUUAUUUUUAAAACAAAAAAUAUAAUUCAAUUAAUUUAAUUUAAUUUUAAAAAAUAAAAAAUCAAUGUAACAAUUAAUUUUAAAUGUCUAAUUCACUUCUUCCUACUUUUAAAAAUACAUUUAUACAAUAAUUAGAUUAUGAUUAUUUAAAUAUAAAAUUCAAAAUUAUAAAAAAAAAAAAAAAACUACAAAGACUAAUUUAAAUAUUACAUAAAUUAAUGUAUGUGAAAUUAUAUGUAGAAAUAAAGAAACAUGUUACGGCAAUGAGAGGAACAAACCUCGUGGAGGUCUAUUUCUCAAACGUAGUCGACGUGUGGAGUCACCCGGAUCCAACUAUCUAUAUUAAAUUAAUUUGUAGAGUAUUAUUUUUGUAUUUUAAAUAAUGGGUACCGGUUAAUUUGAUAGUUCAUUUUUCUUAAACAUUUAAUGAUUUAAGUUUAUUUUCAGCUUAGAUGAAAUUGUCACGUUUAAUUCAUGUAAUUUUGUAUCAUAUAAGAAAUUUAUAAUUUCGUUUCAAUAUUUUAUUCCCUCCAUUCAUAAUAUUUGUAAGGAACUUUAGUCCUUUAGUACCUAGUGAUGAUGAUGUUAAAAAUUGGAAGCAACAACUAUUUUAUCAUCACCUCAAAAAAGGGUCAAUUCUCUUCUUUAUAAUUUUUUUUUUUUUUUUUAAAAUAGAAACAAGUUCUUACUAUUUAUAAUUAUAUAGACAAAAUAUAAAAAAAAAUUAUGAGUUUUCUUCCUUUGUAAUAAUAUAAUGUGUUAAUGGUAGGAAAUUUGAUAUAAUAUUUUUUGGUUUAAUUUGUUGGUUCCUAGAAAUUUAAACAAGUAAUUUAAAAAAAACAACUAGUUAAGCAAAAUCCAUGGAGCUCCUCCUUUUGUUCGUAAAACUUUUUAUGUUGAAUAUGUGAUUUGUUUAGUCUUAAUGAACAUAAAAAUUAUAUACACUUAGCCGAUAAUUUUUUUUCUAGAAUAAAUAAUUUACUAAUGCCCAAACCCUCUGAAUAUUUUUAGAAUUGAAAUGGUGUUAUUAUGUAGUACUUAUCCUUAAUUCAUGGAAUCAUUGGCAAAGACCCCCACACAUCCCUCUAUGCACAAGUCUUGGCACCUCCUGCCCCACGCCACUAAAUUUUGGUCGGGAACAUAUAUCCAAACGUGCGCUCUCUCUCUCUCUCUCUAUAUAUAUAUAUAUAUAUAUAUAUAUCACAUACAUAUACAUUCUGGACUAUAUGUAUGUAUCGUCGCAUGCAUGCACAUACAUAACAUAUCUAUGUGUGGAUGCUAAUAUGUGUAUAUAUAGCCAUCACGAGUUACAACCUUCCUUGCAUAUGCUUUGGCACAUGAUAUCCAAUCAAAUUCUAACUGAUUGAUGUACUGUUUAUACCAUGCCAAUUCUACUUUACCAUGAUAGAACCAACCAUUUUGGCGCCCUUCGAAAAUUGACAAAACAUAUACGUUGCCGGUUAAACCACAUGUAAAUAUCAUAUUAUUAACAUAAUCAUCACUAUAUUUUGCUUGGGAUAUCUGCACUUUUCCCCAUGGCUGCAACUCCUGUAUUCUUAACUUCGAUGGCCCCUAAUGAUCUUCAUCAUGAUCAACUUCAAUUCUCCGGCGACUCUCACUUUGCUCUUCACGGUGAGAUCAUGAUGCUUAUUCUUGUCUUGCUUUUUGUUAUCUUUCUCCUCUUCCUCUUCUUCCUUCUCUACACAAAACGCUUUCGAACUCAACCUAAAGAUGACUUGUCGACCUCCCAGCCCGAUUUACCAACCAAUCUUCCGAUGAUUCAGUUCAAUGGCGGGUGCAAGUGAGUACAAGACCUAUAACCCUUCAACAAAUAUAGAUAGAGCAUCAAUUAUAGCCUUGCUCAUAUACAUAUAUUUAUAUGUAUGUGUUUUUACAAUAUUAUUUAUAUAUCUGCCAUGAUUAAUUGGCUCAGUCCGUAUUGAAAGCUUAAUUUGUAAUUAAGUUAAGGUUAUAAUUAGUUAUCUCCCAUGAAUUAUGAUUCUUUCUAGCUAAAAGAGUAGACAAUUUUCAGUUAAUUAAUGGAGAAAAUGCAUAUGUAUGUAUACAAGACAAGAAAUUAAGAAAGAUUAAUUAAUUAAUUAAUUAAUUAAUCAAAUUAAUUAUUUGUGUUUUUAGAGUUCCGUGUGUGAUUGGGUAACUUACCACCACAAAAUUUGAUGAUGUAUACAAGAUGUUAGGUUGGUGGUACAACUUGUCAAUUGUAAGACAGACAGCCACCAUUUUCAUAUUUAGAUAUGAAGGUACGCUGAGGUGGCACCAAGUGAUUGGGUGGACGUACCAGAUAUUUUCUCUUUUCUCUCUCUAUUAUUGCUCAAGAACUGGACAUACAUACGUAUAUGUAUGUAUGUAUCUACGUACCAACAUGCCAAGGGACUUCCCUCCCACCCAAGAGGAUGGAUAUUUCUAUUAAUUCUCUACUUCUGUAUUGGGUUAAACCUUAAAAUGUAUUUAAAGUAUUAACUUCAAUCUUAUGUAGUUUGUAAGAUAAUAAACACAUACUACCUAUUAGAUUUUAUGCUAAGAAUGUACAAAAUAAACUUUUUCUAUUAGUUAACUUAUUUGUUUAAUUAUCAUCUUAAGACUUAUAUAUGUAAUGGUGUAAAUCAUUACUUAGUUAUAUUACACUGACAAAUGGCCUCUUAGCUCAGUUGGUUAGAGUAUUGUGCUAAUAACGCAAAUGUUAUUAUUAUUAUUAUUUUUUUUUACAUAAUUUAAUAGCAAAAUUAUAAAUGAUUCCAC